rnacentral:rRNA from 1 species
GAGUCGGACCUGCCCAGUGAAUAUUUUCAACGGCCGCGGUACUCUGACCGUGCAAAGGUAGCAUAAUCAUUUGCCCUAUAAUUGAGGGCUAGUAUGAAUGGUUUGACGUGAACAAAGCUGUCUCUAUGUAAUUUUUUAGAAUUUGAUUUCUAGGUGAGGAAACCUAGAUGUAAUUGAAAGACAAGAAGACCCUAUUGAGCUUUAAAAAAGUAAACUGAAAAUAAUAUAUAACUCUAAAUAUUAAUCUGUUUUAGAUUUUGGUUGGGGCGACUAUGGAACAAAUAAAGCUUCUUUAUAAUUAAUAAAACUUACAGGUCUUGAUCCAAAAAUUUUGAUCAAUGGAAUUAGUUACCAUAGGGAUAACAGCAUAAUUUUCUUUGAGAGCUCUUAUCGAAAAGAAAGUUUGUGACCUCGAUGUUGGACUAGAAUGUCCUAAAGAUGCAGCAGUCUUUAAGGGUUGGUC